AACGAACGCUGGCGGCAUGCCUAACACAUGCGAGUCGAACGAGACCUUCGGGUCUAGUGGCGCACGGGUGCGUAACGCGUGGGAACCUGCCCUUAGGUUCGGAAUAACUCCCCGAAAGGGGUGCUAAUACCGGAUAAUGUCUUCGGACCAAAGAUUUAUCGCCUUUGGAUGGGCCCGCGUUGGAUUAGCUAGUUGGUAGGGUAAAAGCCUACCAAGGCGACGAUCCAUAGCUGGUCUGAGAGGAUGAUCAGCCACACUGGGACUGAGACACGGCCCAGGCUCCUACGGGAGGAAGCAGUGGGGAAUAUUGGACAAUGGGCGAAAGCCUGAUCCAGCAAUGCCGCGUGAGUGAUGAAGGCCUUAGGGUUGUAAAGCUCUUUUACCCGGGAUGAUAAUGACAGUACCGGGAAAAUAAGCUCCGGCUAACUCCGUG
rnacentral:rRNA from 1 species